ACUGGAGUUCAUAAGACAUCUAAAGCUACGCUUACACAGGACAGUCAUGGUAUCAUUAAUCAAAUUGCAAUUCCCAGUGAGGAGCUGGACGCUAGGGAUCAGAAUAAACACACAGAGUGUCAGAAAAUAAGUUUGUCAAAACCUGUUGUUGUUGUUGUGUUUUUGUUGUUGUUGUUGUUGUUGUUUUGUUUUGUUUUGAUUUGUUUUUCUCCUUGGCUUCUUCUCCCCUGCCUCCUCCCCAAACUGUCUGGAUUUUUUUUUUCUUUUUGAAAUAGAAUCCCUGCCUUGAGGGAGAAAAGCCAACUGGGAGCACUAAGCACAGCUAUAUUUAACAGAAAAUGUAAUGGACUGGAAGUCUGAUUUCCACAGCUCUUCUUCCCAUCUAAUGUUGUCAGAUAAUUUUUGAAAUUAUGAUCAACCCAAAACAGCAUUUCUUCACAUAAGUGUUGCCAUAUUGAUUUCUAUAAAAGGUUCAUCAGGUCGUGUAUCAUCUAACUGGAUCUUUAGGUAGGAGCACAAGAUGUUGAAGAAAAAUCUUGUAUUCAUCUUGCUUUCCAGCAACAGGAGGAACUAGGUCUUCCCAGCUGGAAAUGCUUGUCUGCCUUUGAUAGUGUUUCCCAGCAGUCACAUUCUAUGGACCACAUCCUUCUUAUUCCUAAAGCUUUUUUGAUGUGAUUUGACCUUCUUUCACUGCACUGCAAUGAAGGCUCACCUAGUAACUAAAUAGCCUCUUAUCCUGCCCACCAAGGGAUUAUGAAGUGGGAAUUAGGGUUUAUGACAGGUAUAUGAGUAUCUGCACGCAAUUGUCAUGUUAAGAAGAGAAAAAAUAGAAGCUGAGGCAGUGGAAACAGCUGUAUUCUGUUACUCCUCUCAUGAAGAUCUAGUAACUCUUUGUCUCCACUCCUGAAAGGCUCAGGGAGCAUCAGUUCAUUAGAAGCUGUAUUCCCCUUGGAUACUCUGAGCUUGGGGUUGGGAAUGAUAAGGUAAAGUCCUUGUGGAUAAGGAUUAUGGGGUUGGCCAACAGAGCAGAGAUCCUGGUUGGGGUCUG
rnacentral:lncRNA from 1 species